ACUGGGAGAAGGUGAAGAAGGGCCCUGUGGGGACGAUGCUGAAUGAGGAGCAUCGUCAACUGGUGGCUUCUCACAAAUCUGCCAUCCUGGAGAGUCUCAGACAAAUACAGGCAUCAUGAGCAGAAUGAGAAGUUCCACCGCAACACCAUGACUGAGAUGUUGAUAAGUGGAAUGUGACAAGGUUUUGCCACUUGUGUGUCUAAUUGUUGCAAAAAAAAAGUACUUCAAGUUAUUUUGUUUUGGUAUGCGUUUGUUUAUGUACAUUUGAUAAUUGUGGCAUGUUUUGUGAAAUAAUAAAUGACAAAGUGUUUUCCUCCUAUUGGCAGAGAUCAACAUAGUCAGAUACAGACUAUGCAAUAAACAAUCUGCAAAGUCUAAGCCUGUUAUUAUUUUAGGUAAUCUGAUCUAGGACUUCCAAUUACAUCUGCUGGUCAGCGACCAGCAGAUGUAAUUGUUUAUAUUGCUGUAUUAUACUAUAAAUGUUAAAUUAUUUAGUUUAACUUAUUAUUCUUAAAUAUAAACAAUUGUGAGGCUUAAAACAUGAGUUAUACAUUUUUAUAUAAAUUUUUAUCAUUCUGUGGAAAGUUGUGAUACAGACCAAAACAUGUUUUUACCUGUAUAAGCUGUCAAAAUGUGAAUAUACAAUUUAAAUUAUGAAAAUGAGGAAAGUCGGUAUGAGGACCUACAAUGGUGUGAGAAGUGUUUGUGUUUGUUCCCCUCCUGGUUACAUACAGUGUCUUGUAAAAGAAUUCAUAACCCUAUACUUUUUCCAGGGUUUGUGAUUUUACAACCACAAACAUCAGUGACUGACAGUGAAUAGUGAAUAAUUGUGAAGUAGAGUAAAAAUGACAUGAAAGAACAAAUUUUUACAAUGAAACAUGAAAGUUUUAGUGCGUGUUUGCACUCAGACCCCCUUUACUCUGACUCCCCUCAAUAAAGUCCAAUAAAUUGCCUUCAAAAGUCAACUAAUCAGUAAACUGACCUCUAGUUUAUGUUUUGAAUUAUGAUGAUUACAGUCACCAAAACUGACUUUUUUUUUACAAAU